UGUGUCAGAGAUAUAUCAACCUGCAGUUCUUGCCUAGUGUCCUACUGAAGAUAAGCAGGGUUGAGAAUGGCCAGUACCUGGAUGGGAGACCUCCUGGGGAACAACUAAGGUUGCCACUU
rnacentral:rRNA from 1 species